GGUUUCAGCUGCUGUCUGGCUGCCCAGCUCCUGGGAACAUGGACCCAGCCUGCUGGAUGUGUGCACCAGAGCCAGCAUGGGCAGCCACCAGCAGCCCUCUCAUCACCAGGAUCUAUAGGCUGUGCCCCUCAGCUCUGUCAGCAGGCUGUGUACAGCACAGAGUAGCAGUCACCAGCUGGGCUGGGAACACAGUGUGAGACUGGCAGGCAUUGAGAAGUUACGGUGCAACUCUCCAGUGCCAGCCACCUCCUUCACUCCAGACAGACACCCUUCACCUUGGAUGAUGUGUUAUCUCUCCGGUCCACUCCCAAGAGUUUCCUCAAGUCCUGCUCUCCGGCAGAGGAAAGGGGGCUCUACCAGCCGCCUCUGCUGAGCAUCAGGGGUCCAGCACCCCAAGAAGGAUGCCCAUGGGGAAGUGCUCCAAGGCAAUCUCACCAGGAGACCUCACUCAGCAAAGUCUGCGCAAGUCUUGGAUGGAAGGUCAGGAAUAUGUAACCAAGGUUCCAACUCCAAGAACAGACAACUCCACCGCUGAGAGCUUCAGAUAAACUGAGUUUUAUGUGUCCACCACAAGUGAUAAGCAGAACAUCCAGGUAAUGAGUAUGGGAGCUGUUUUCAUUGCUUUGAAGUAUCCCUUGUGAAGUCCUCGCACUGUCAGGUUGCAGGUGCUGUUUGGAGAGCGGUACUGUCAGGAUGUUACUGCACCCUUCCCUAUGUGACACACAAGCAGGCAGCCUUCUCUUCUAGCACAUGUCUCUGCUGUGCUCCGUUCCUCCACUUGCUGGCGGCUUUGAUGAUGCCAUCAUUCAGAAAGAGCAAUGAUGGGACGGCUUGCAAUCAAUGCUAGAACAGUCCACGAUCAAUGGGAUUAUCAAAUGAGAGACAUUGCUUACAAGUUUUGCAGGAGAGAGCAGCUCGUUAUUCUGAUGUGUCCGUGCAGUACAUAAGAAAACCUAUUACAAGAUAAACAACAGAGGGACUGACUUAUAAUAUCAAGAAAAAUACUAGCUGCUAGUUACCAGAGGCGACUAAUAUGCUGCUUAGAACCUUUAGUAUCACAGAUACCAAAUAUUGCACCAGUGUAAUUAUUAUUGGCCUUAAUCAGUAAACAGAAUCUAUGUGAUGGAAUUACUGGAAACAGUGAAUUAGUGAUUUUUAGACAGCUUUAUUGGGUGUGAAGCCCCUGGGUAGUCAGCAGCUAUUCUUGACACUUGCUUUUACUUAUUGCUAGGGAUGCAGUGAAUCCAGGAUUUGGCCGAGCAUUUAAGUUGACCACACACCGGCAUUUCCUGAUGCUCGCCAAGCAACUGGGUCACUUCUCAAUGUGGGCACACACACACACACAUGAAUGGCCAGCUUGUAUAAGAUCCCACUCACGGUAGAUAAAUUAUAGGCAUUGUUUUAGGUUUUUAUAUGAAGACCAAAUAUCAGCAAUUAGAACUGUACAAUUCAAAUAUUAAAAUUAAGAAUAUACUGGUAAGUAACGUGUGAGACAGCUUAAUAGGACAUUAUAUAAUUUCAGCAAAAAGAUAAAAUAAUUUUUUGAUAUCUGAUGGAGGGGGAGAUGUACUAAGCCUUGGAGAGAGAUAAAGUGGAGAAAGAUACAGUACUAGCCAAGCAGCUCCUAUUCUAACUACCAUGGCACAGGGAGUGUUUGUAAAAUGACAGGGCUGGUUGGUACUUUAUCUACAUCCACUUUCUCUCUCUCCAAGGACAUAAUUCAGACCUGAUCACAGCAGCAAACUUUUUCGCUAAUGGGAACCAUGGCCCUCAUUCCGAGUUGUUCGCUCGCUAGCCGCUUUUCGCAGCAGUGCACACGCUAAGCCGCCGCCCUCUGGGAGUGUAAUUUAGCUUAGUAGAAUUGCGAACGAAAGAUUCGCAAAAUUGCGAAUAGACAUUUCUUAGCAGUUUCUGAGUAGCUCGAGACUUACUCUGCCACUGCGAUCAGUUCAGUCAGUUUCGUUCCUGGUUUGACGUCACAAACACACUAGUGAUGAGCGGGUUCGGUUCCUCGGAAUCCGAACCCCCCCGAACUUCAGACUUUUUACACGGAUCCGAGGCAGACUCGGAUCUUCCCGCCUUGCUCGGCUAACCCGAGCGCGCCCGAACGUCAUCAUCCCGCUGUCGGAUUCUUGCGAGGCUCGGAUUCUAUCGCGAGACUCGGAUUCUAUAUAAGGAGCCGCGCGUCGCCGCCAUUUUCACACGUGCAUUGAGAUUCAUAGGGAGAGGACGUGGCUGGCGUCCUCUCCAUUUAGAUUAGAAGAGAGAGAGUGAGAGUGAGACACUUGAUUUACUGGAGCUUAGGAGUACUCAGAGAGUGCAGAGUUUACUAGUGACUGACCAGUGACCACCAGUGCAGUUUUAUUAUAUUAUUAUUUAAUAUAAUCCGUUCUCUGCCUGAAAAAAACGAUACACAGUGACACAGUAACAGUAUACCAUAUCUGUGCUCAGCCUCAGUGUGCUGCAUCAUCUAUGUAUAUCUGACUGUGCUGAGUGCUCAGUGCUCACACAGCUUAAUUGUGGGGGAGACUGGGGAGCAGUAGCAGGAGUACAUAUUAUUUAACAGUGCACACUUUUGCUGCCAGAGUGCCACUGCCAGUGUGACUGACCAGUGACCACUGUCUGACCACCAGUAU